GCGUUACCCACAAAAGAGAACAAAACAAAGAUAAUAUAUUAUUGGUCUCUGUUCAACAUUUUGCCUAAAGAUUUUCAUAACAGCAAAGAAAGAAAAUUUUAACUAGUUAUAGAAAAAAUAUAAUUUUAAAUACGUGUUUAUUUACCUGAUUUUUGCCGUUUGAAAUCUACAACAACUACACAAAAGUAAGCAUAUCAAUUUAUAAAUGAUCAAG
rnacentral:lncRNA from 1 species